rnacentral:lncRNA from 1 species
GAAUCAUAUUCGAAUCCAAUUCGAAUUAGGAGCUAAGGUUUGCAACACCUGCUAGGAUGUUUAUCUUGCAAACAUGAUCUAAUCCAAUUAGACCCUUAAUAAGUUUUCUUGUGUGUGACCCAUUGGGUUCCAUACUUAGCCAGCAAUAGGUGUGAGUGCGAGUUGACCCAACUUGAUUAGAACUCUUCUAAUCAAUUUAAGUCCAAACUGCGCGAACCCGAACUUAACAAUUAGAAUCCUUUCUAAUUGGUGAUCAAAUUAAACUCUUUAAUUCGAUCAAACCUAUAAGACAAGAUUGACGUCUAGCAACGUGUCAUGUCUACCCGGAAAAUAUGGAAUUUGGUGGAAAUACCAAAAAUACCCUUCAGUGGCAAGUUACCGUGCAAUUCAAUCCUUUAAUCAAACUGCAUCCCAAAUAUGUAUAUGAGCAUGAAUAUAUGUCAAACUCAAUUUCAUAUUCAUAUUUUUCUCAAUCUUUUAAUGAUAAUUCAAAUAAUGAAACAUUAGAAACUCUUUCUAAUUUUCAUUCUGCUUUGAUCAAAGGCUUCCUGAAU